CACUGACCACUCCUUCAAUGAAGACAGUAAUGAGAUCAUCUGCACACUCCACAGAGCUCCAGAGUUACUGUUCAUAGCAAAAGUGUAAUGCUGUCCUUGGAGAUUUUCACCUAAGACUGUGAGUGUGAGUGUGUAAUGGAUUUCAAAGUGUUUAAGUGUUCAGAGCACUCUACAGCCUGGUAAGGUGGCAAGUUUGAAAAGAGCAGCAGAAGGUAUCAGUACUGUAGUGUAACUUGUUCUUUUCCUUUCCUAACAGUGAACAGAGUGCCGAUUAUUAUCGACAGCUACGUCCACCCGGGGUGAAAGUAGUGUGGGAGACCAUCAGGACCCAGCUGGGUUUCCUUGGUCCAGAGGUUUGGAGAAACCUCUUCCUUUUCUUUCAUCACAGCUGUCCUGUGCCAGAUGUUCUGUUGACCCACUGAGAGAGGCGUGUUUGAGAAAGAUCAGGAAGACUGAAGCUCAUGGUAGGAAUGAAGGAGGACCUUGUGAGCUCCACCAGCAGCUCCCUCACAAGGAACUGUUCACAAGUCCACUGCAGGCACGCCCCAGAAGAUGGAUAAAGGCAGCGUUUCAUGAAGACACUGGAACCAAUCUAUCUUCAUAACAGCAGGAUAAAGACAUGGUGAUAAAUGAGUGUGUGGGCCGUCUGCUGAGGACCAGGAGCUCAGGACACUCAGACGGGGGCGUCGCAGCAGGAGUCACCGCGCACCACAAUCCUCUGCUGUUCGGAGAUGUCACACUCCUGCCUGCACAUAGAAACCACAGUGAAGUCAAAGUUCCACCUGCACCUCCACCUGUUCUUG